rnacentral:rRNA from 1 species
AUACGGAGAGUGCAAGCGUUGUUCGGAAUCACUGGGCGUAAAGGGCGCGCAGGCGGUUUGGUAAGUCAGAUGUGAAAGCCCACGGCUCAACCGUGGAAGUGCAUUCGAAACUGUCAGACUUGAGUACUAGAGGGGAAAGUGGAAUUCCCGGUGUAGAGGUGAAAUUCGUAGAUAUCGGGAGGAAUACCGGUGGCGAAGGCGACUUUCUGGCUAGAUACUGACGCUGAGGCGCGAAAGCGUGGGGAGCAAACAGGAUUAGAAACCCUAGUAGUCC